ensembl:lncRNA
AGACCCAGAUUAAACAAAUAAGCAAGAGACUAAGCAGGAAUAAUAACCAAACCCAUGUGAGGUCUGGGCGAUAGAUAACGCUUUGGGUAUGUCCACCAUCCUGGAGGACAGGGACCGUUAUUCCCUCGUGUUCAAAGUGUUGUUUCUGCUUUGAUCUUUUGAUUUGUUGGAAAGCACUCAGCGUUAGGACUCAGCGAAGAGAUUUGGCUGGACUGACUGUAGUUCCCCCUUGAGAUUAUAGGAAAGCGAUUUCUUUCCAUAUUAGUUACUUUUUAGUUGGGCAACUAACCACAGAGUUGGUACUUCAAGUGUCGGUCAGCAUAAACACACACCCACACACACAAACAUGUAAUUGUGUAGAGAAGAUUGAAUUCUCUUGAACAAGUCAAUCCACCCAGUCUCUGUGGUUCCGUCGUUUAUGCACGCUACAUGACCAGGAUUCACAUCACUGUUUGAUUAUUACUGUUCAGAUGUUUUUACUUCAAAGAAUGUUUUUUUUUAAAUGUUAGGACAACUGUUCAGAUAUUUAAAUAUAUGCUUAACUUGAUGUUGACGAUGCCUUCCAGCUCCAAGCCAGUCACCAUUUUGAGUAGAUCAGAAUAUAAUAUCUUUGUCUGUUUAAAUGGAACAUAUACUGUGUCUGUUUGGACUUCAAAGUCAAGUUUGUUUCAGUAAAUGUCAUAUACGUUAAGUUGUAGACACAAGUAUUGCACAGCUAUUUCUAAAUGGACUAAAUGCAUACAUACACAGAUACCUUACCAUAUUACCAUAUCUCAAACUGAUCCAUUAGGAAACCUGUUUUGUUAUGGAUGGUGUUGUUUUUUGUAUAUUUUAUAGUGUUUCUGUAUUUUUGUUAAUGAGAUACUUUUUAUGUAUUUAGUUCACAAACAUUUGAAUAUUUUUCAAUAAUUUAUAUUUUAUAAAAGAAAAAGACAGACAGCUGGUGCUUUCAUGGGAAAUAAAGGUAGCACAGGAAAAAAUGUAGCGAUUUUCUUUCGAUAUAGAGAAUAGACCUUUCUGUUAAAGAAAAAGGCUGAUGCUGGCCCAUCAUUGAUUUCUGCUGGAAAGUUUUAUAAACUGAAGCUUCUAUUUCUUAAUGUACUUUUAAAAAAAAUAUGUCAUAAAAAAAUAUAUGUGAACAAAUAUUUCAUACUUUGUGUGUAUUGUGUGGUUAUUUCUUCUAAUAUUACCAGAGCAAAAAAGGCGUUUGAAACAUUACAUCUAUACUGUAACUUACAGUACAUUGAGCUCUUAACAUG